UACGGAGGGUGCAAGCGUUGUUCGGAAUUAUUGGGCGUAAAGCGCGUGUAGGCGGCUAUCUAAGUCUGGUGUGAAAUCCCUGGGCUCAACCCGGGAAGUGCACUGGAUACUGGAUAGCUAGAGGGCGAGAGAGGAGAAUGGAAUUCCUGGUGUAGGGGUGAAAUCCGUAGAUAUCAGGAGGAACAUCAGAGGCGAAGGCGGUUCUCUGGCUCGCAACUGACGCUGAGACGCGAAAGCGUGGGGAGCAAACAGG
rnacentral:rRNA from 1 species